AUGUGCAGUCUCACACAUACACACGUGCUUACACAUGUUCACAGUGCACAUAUGCACACAUGCAUGCUCACACGUAUGUGCACACCAGGUACACCCAUACAAGUACAUGCACAUGCACGCACACAUGCACACCCACACAUGUACACACAGAUACUCCCACACAUGCACACAGGUAUGCUCACACAUGCACACGUGCACACAAGGUACACUCAUACAUGUAUAUGCACAUGUGCACACACAGGCACACCCACACAUGUACACACAGGUACACCUAUGCAUGCACACAGGUAUGCUCACACAUGUACACACACACAGGUCCACCCAUACAUGCACAUGCACACAGGUAUGCUCACACAUGUACAUGCACACAUGUACACAGGUAUGCUCACACAUGCACACAUGUACACAGGUACAGCAUACAUGCACACAGGUAUGCUCACACGUGCACAUGCACACAUGUGCACACAGGUACAACAUGCAUGUACAUGCACACAUGCACGCUCACACAUGCACACAUGUACACAAGGUACAGCAUACAUGCACAUGCACACAGGUAUGCUCACACGUGCACAUGCACUCAGGUACACACAGGUACAGCAUACAUGUACAUGCACACAGGUACACCCAUACAUGUACACGCACACGUGCACACACAGUUACACUCACACAUGCACAUGCACACAGGUACACCCAUACACACACACGUGCACACACAGUUACACUCACAUGUGCACAUGCACACAUGUACACACAGGUACAGCAUACAUGCACAUGCACACAGGUAUGCUCACACGUGCACAUGCACACAUGUGCACACAGGUACAGCAUACAUGUACAUGCACACAUGCACGCUCACACAUGCACACAUGUACACACAGGUACAGCAUACAUGCACAUGCACACAGGUAUGCUCACACAUGCACAUGCACUCAGGUACACACAGGUACAGCAUACAUGUACAUGCACACAUGUAUGCUCACACAUGUACACGCACACAGGUACACCCAUACAUGUACACGCACACGUGCACACACAGUUACACUCACACAUGCACAUGCACACAGGUACACCCAUACACACACACGUGCACACACAGUUACACUCACAUGUGCACAUGCACACAUGUACACACAGGUACAGCAUACAUGCACAUGCACACAGGUAUGCUCACACGUGCACAUGCACACAUGUACACAAGGUACAGCAUACAUGUACAUGCACACAUGCAUGCUCACACAUGCACAUGCACACAGGUCCACCCAUGCAUGCACAUGCACACAGGUAUGUUCACACGUGCACAUGCACACAUGUACACACAGGUACAACAUACAUGUACAUGCACACAUGUAUGCUCACACAUGCACAUGCACACAGGUCCACCCAUGCAUGCACAUGCACACAGGUAUGUUCACACGUGCACAUGCACACAUGUACACACAAGUACAACAUACAUGUACGUGCACACAUGUAUGCUCACACAUGCACAUGCACACAGGUAUGCUCACAUGUGCACAUGUACCUGAGUGCACAGCUUCCGAAGGAGUAUCACAAAGGCUGAUAAUUCGUUGUUUGGUAGUUUGCCUGUUUGCCUUAUCCCGCACCCUGCUCUGCACGGUGGGAGCUGCUGGACUGGACAGGCCGGGUCUCUGA
rnacentral:lncRNA from 1 species